GCUGGGGUAUGCAAGCGGUCAAAGCAACCGGUCUGUAAAACCGUCGGCUUUAUGCCUUCGCAGGUUCGAAUCCUGCCCCCAGCACCA
rnacentral:tRNA from 1 species